rnacentral:lncRNA from 1 species
CACGAAUAGAAAACAAAAAGAGGUGCAGGAGGAAGCCAGGAAGUUGGACACUAGCUUGGCAUUAAGCCAGUUCAAUCUAAGACAAAAUUGGUUUGUGCCACACGUGGAACGAUAAGUUCGCAGCCACAGUAAGGAGAAAUAAGAAGUCAAAAGUGAGCCUGCCAGUGGUGGCUCAUGCAGCACUCAGGCAGACAGAGCUCUGAGUUCAGGGCCAGCCUGGUCUACCAAGAGACUUCCAUACAGCUAGGGCGACACACAGAAACUCUGUCUUGAAAAAACAAAAACCAACCAAACAAGCAAAACCCAUACAAAGAUGCUACAAUGGAAGUUAAUGGGCUAUCGUCGGCUCACCCAGGGAACCAGGAGACCUUGAUGGAGGCCUGCUGAGGGUUCUCACCCAGAAAUGGGGAGAAAUGUUUGUGCCCCUCCCGCCGAGGCUAAAGGACUCUUCCCACUGGAAAGCCCCCCAACCAGGCCUCGCCUCCCAACCUGCUCGAAUGAGGCCUUGGGCGAUGGCCUCCGCCAUGCGACCUGCGCCCACGAAGCCCACAAGCAGCUGUUCAGAUCCUGAUGCCACCAUCGUGCUCCUCCUCUCUAGUGGUAAACUUGAAAUGACAGAAUUCUUUGGAGCCUAAUCCUAGGUAACCUUAGGAAAAUGGAUCUUAAUUAUUUUUGAACCUUGAUUUUUCAAAAUACCAUAAAUGAUAUUUUCUUUUUCAAAGCUGCUUCUUAUUUGGGGCUACUUUUUUUUUUGUUUUUUAGUUGAGGUGUAAUUCAUAAAAGGGUACAUUAUUUUGAUGAGACACAUUUACAGUUGUGGCUGGAUGUCUUUCAGUAGUCUUCCAAGGAGGGCCAUUUUACUUUUUUAAGGUUACUUUUAAAGUCAUGGGGUCAUCAACUUGGACUACUUUGUGUUAGAAUCCAGCCUUGGCGACCUCCCAUGCCUAGCUAGCUGCCAGCUAGCCUAGCAUCCCACCCUUCAGGUUCCGGGACCUGGCCUGAGAAGCAACUAACACCUUCCCCCUCUUCCUUAGUUAGUGCUUGAGAUAAACAUAGGAGAUUCCGGAUACCUGGCCUGAGAGCAAUUAACAUUCAUU